GGAGUUGUGGCUCAGUGGUAGAGCGCUCAUCCCGCAUAUGUGAAGCCCUGGGUUUGAUCCCCAGCACCA
rnacentral:tRNA from 2 species